UUGCGAGGCCUCACGCCAGGAGCUGUGCAGGACACAAAGUGGAAGGGAAAGCUGGACUCCAGCAACUGCUGGGAGAAAGGAGAGGGCCCCUUGGGGACAGCCAGCCGGCGCCUUGGCAGUGCUUUGUGGGAGGGCUGGAGCUUGAUGAGGUCUCCUCAAUACGGAAUGUGGGCUACAGAGCACAAGGGUACUUCCAAUCGUGUUUGGGAAAAGUGGAAUUGAAAGCUCUACCCUGAAGGACUUUGCAGUCCCGGAAGAAAUCCUGGUAUGGCAACAUGUUCACAUGUAGAGACGUGGCCAAUAGCUCAAAAACGAUCAAAUAAUACUGCGCAAAUCAAUUGCUACAGGAAACUCUCUGGGAGAGUGAGAGAAAGCCUCACAGACAAGCUUACACUUCAGAAAGAGAUCAUGUAUAGGAGAAAGAUACGGAGAACAAAUAUUUCUCUUUCUCGGCAACACAGAUUUAAUGGAUCUACCUGGAUGGAAGCGAAAACCCUUUCUGCGUUUUAUUAAAAACACUCCCCUGGGACUCCUUCAUUUAAGGAACCACAAAAUUGCCCUGGCAGCGAGGUAUGUAGGCCACGCCUCCAAGGAAUCCGACCCCGGAGUGCGCAAGAAAUAACUCAGGUCCCAACCCAGUCACAGAUGGAAACCCAGCAAGAGAAAAUAGUUAAGACAAAGAAAAAUUUUAAGUUGAGAUGUUUUCGUUUCCUUUUUGUUCUUAAGGGGGGGAGGGAGCAUGAUUUUCAAUCUAAGAACGGAAA